rnacentral:misc_RNA from 1 species
AUAGUGCUCUCUUGUCACCAGAUGCAUUGUGAGCUGCAAAAUUUUCAUUUCACUCUAUAAGAUGUUUCUGUAUACCAGCCUAUACAUGAUACAUUACUUCUCAUUAGGAACAAGCAAGUUCGUAUUUUCUAGCACUAUUGAGUUCUAUCAUUAUUCAGAGCUUAGGGUUAUGUAAAUGCUGUCUACCUGUCCAAACAUCUCCAGGACUCGAAAUUACUGGCUUAAGCAUUGUUGAUUGUUCUACACAUAUAAAUGAAUACAUGCCACAGCUUUGGUGGCUUAAGCUGGGACAAAACAUGUACAGUUUAUUGAACCCAUCCCUUGCUAUCACAACUGAGUUUCUUCUACUCUGUUUAUGAGGAGAGGGAAAGCAUUUGUCAGCGUAGAGAAGAAUGGAAAGCAAGAUUCAAGAGUAGACUGAACUCAUUGAACGAUAACUUCGUUAAGUGUAUCCAAUAAGUUUCAUAGACAGGAUUGGUUUGGCAAGUCUCACAACCAAGCUAAUUUGGAUCAACUACUACAAACUCUAAAAUAUUUUCUGGGGUGAACCAACUAUGAUACUUAGCUAAGGUGGAAAUAUCAAAUAUUUUCGGGAAUGGACAUUUUACUGGAAUGAAGCCUUCAACGAGAUAGAAAAAGGUCUGAACCCAAGUAGUUCAUGAUUUGAAUGUUUAGAUUCAAUCAUACAUCUAAGGAAAAAAAUGGGAAAGGAAAAGAAAAGGGAAUUGAAUCGAGUGAUUAAGAAGAAGACCCUGUCAAUGAUUGUGAAAUCCAGUGGUGCACUGGUGUAAAACCUUUUAAUUUGCUCAGUUAAGUGCUUAUAGUUGUCAGUCCCUUCACCGUUCAUUUCUUCUCCACUCCGUAUUUGCCUGCCUCUCCCAUUUCUAGCAUCCAAGGCAGAUCCUCUGAGACCCAGAAUAUCUCAUAGUUCGCCAGAACCAUAUCCACUUUCGUGGCCAAGGUCAGGAGAAACUAUGCUCAAAUUUGACAAGAACAUAGGCCUGUUAAAGAAAUUUGAUCCCUCUAACCCUUAUACAGAAGUCGUUUCUGGUAUGCUUACUGUUAGAUGGCUUAUAAGGGAUCCCACCAACUGGACUGAUGAAGAUUUUGAGUUUGAGACUAUGAGCUUUUAGCCAAAGGUGUCUUCUUGGAGACUCACAUUGUGUCUUACUUAAACCAUAUCCUCUGUAUCUGUGCCUAUGAGUGCAACCCGCAUUCCAGAAGUUCCCACUUCAGGAAUGCGUAAAAUUCCAAGCAUCCAAAUUGAAUCUCCUUAAAAUUGACAAGCUUAUAUAUACAGACCUGAAUAGAGUCUUGAGGUGAUCCUCUAAUAGCAUGAACAGCCCAAAAGUUUCAGCAUUACUUCCAAAGUUCAAGGCUAAGAAUACCCCUCCUUGUAUGACAGGAUUACCGUCUUUCCCUUCUGAGACGGAUCUUUGCAGCAGCUCAAAUGUACCACCAUGCCACAUGUGCCUUGUAUUAUGUGAUCAGGCCACUUGGAAGCGUCCAGGUGGCUGUACUCCCAUUCCCCUAUCUCAUCUUGGAAAUGCAGCUAUCGCUUAUAUUUUCAUAAGUGACUCCAUCCCCACUGAAUUCUCCCUCCAAGUAGUCCACAUUGAUCGGUUGGUAUGGGAUUGAAGCUACAGAUGGGAGUGGUAAUUCUCUCUUCUUAUUACUGCAUUGAACAGAAAUAGAAGGAAGGUAAGAAAGAAAAUGGAUGUGUGCUGGGGGGACUUGUGGAGGGAAUAGAAGUAAUGUUCAUUGAAAAUAGAGAACUGGAAGCCAUAAUUAAAUGAAAGUAGAGAACUGGAAGCCAUAGUUAACCCUUCAUUUCAAUUUUGUAUUAUUUGGUAUCAUUAUGCAGAAGAUAGAAUAUAACUGCAUACCUAUUGAAUAUAAUGUAAAGAGAAAAGGAUGUUGUGGGGCCCACUUAUCACUGUCUUGCAUACGGUUGGAUGACUCAGCUAGUCCUUUUGGUUGGUUCUAAUUUAAAACUAGUUAGAUAUUUUGAAAUAUAUUUUUCCAUUAUUUGUUGAAGUUCUUGACAAUUGCUCCUAUCUAAUUCCAAUGUUGUUAGCCA